rnacentral:rRNA from 1 species
CGGACGGGUGAGUAACACGUGGAUAACCUACCUAUAAGACUGGGAUAACUUCGGGAAACCGGAGCUAAUACCGGAUAAUAUUUUGAACCGCAUGGUUCAAAAGUGAAAGACGGUCUUGCUGUCACUUAUAGAUGGAUCCGCGCUGCAUUAGCUAGUUGGUAAGGUAACGGCUUACCAAGGCAACGAUGUAUAGCCGACCUGAGAGGGUGAUCGGCCACACUGGAACUGAGACACGGUCCAG